rnacentral:rRNA from 1 species
UGGGGAAUAUUGGACAAUGGGCGCAAGCCUGAUCCAGCCAUGCCGCGUGCGGGAAGAAGGCCUUCGGGUUGUAAACCGCUUUUGUCAGGGAAGAAACGCUCUGGGCUAAUACCCUGGGGUAAUGACGGUACCUGCAGAAGAAGCACCGGCUAACUACGUGCCAGCAGCCGCGGUAAUACGUAGGGACCAAGCGUUGUUCGGAUUUACUGGGCGUAAAGGGCGCGUAGGCGGCAAUUCAAGUCAUCUGUGAAAUCUCCGGGCUUAACUCGGAACGGUCAGAUGAUACUGCUUUGCUAGAGUGCAGAAGGGGCAAUCGGAAUUCUUGGUGUAGCGGUGAAAUGCGUAGAUAUCAAGAGGAACACCUGAGGUGAAGACGGGUUGCUGGGCUGACACUGACGCUGAGGCGCGAAAGCCAGGGGAGCAAACGGGAUUAGAUACCCGAGUAGUCCCUGAGCGGGCUGGCAAGGCGCAU